UGCGCCACUGCUCGAUCUCGGCGACGAGGCGUUCGGCUGCGAGCUGGUCGUGGAGAGGCGUCUCGCACACCUCGAGCGCGUCCGAGACGUGCUGGUCCCAC
rnacentral:tRNA from 1 species